rnacentral:rRNA from 1 species
UACGAAGGGUGCAAACGUUGCUCGGAAUUAUUGGGCGUAAAGCGCACGUAGGCGGCUUUGUAAGUUAGAGGUGAAAGCCCGAGGCUCAACUCCGGAAUUGCCUUUAAGACUGCAUCGCUAGAAUUGUGGAGAGGUAAGUGGAAUUCCGAGUGUAGAGGUGAAAUUCGUAGAUAUUCGGAAGAACACCAGUGGCGAAGGCGACUUACUGGACACAUAUUGACGCUGAGGUGCGAAAGCGUGGGGAGCAAACAGG